rnacentral:rRNA from 1 species
GACGAACUGUGCAAACGUUAUUCGGAAUCACUGGGCUUAAAGGGUGCGUAGGCGGCCCUGUAAGUAUGGUGUGAAAUCUCCCGGCUUAACUGGGAGGGUGCGCUAUAGACUGCGGGGCUCGAGUGUGGGAGAGGAAAGUGGAAUUCCUGGUGUAGCGGUGAAAUGCGUAGAUAUCAGGAGGAACACCGGUGGUGUAAACGGCUUUCUGGACCAUAACUGACGCUGAGGCACGAAAGCGUGGGUAGCAAACAGG